rnacentral:tRNA from 1 species
GCCAUACUAAGAUGGCAGAGCAUGGUAAUUGCAAAAGGCCUAAGCCCUUUCAGCCAGAGGUUCAAAUCCUCUUCUUAGUU